UCUCCUCUGGUUUCCUUCCCCACACACGCGACCCUCUCUCUCCCUCUUUCCUUUCCUCUCCUCCAACGCCCAGCUCCUUUCCUGCUGCUCCGCCGCGCCGCCUCUUUCUCCGCCAAAUACACCGCGUGCCGCCGCCCGUGCUCGUGCCCUUUUCAUCUCCCGUCCCGAGCUCCACCUCCUCCAGCUUCACAUCCCCGAUUUCAGGGGCGAUUUGGAUCUCGGGAGCACACGGGAGGGAGGCGAGGUGCUUGUUGCUGGGAGAGGGGCGAUGAGGAGUCUCGGCCCUAGGAUCCUUCCCUCUCGUGGGGCUAGGCAUCCUGUCCGCGCCGCGACGCCUCCGGCAUGGAGGCCCUGGCUCGGGCAGCCGCCGCAGUGUCGGGUGGGCCGGCGAGGUCUCUGGGGUCCGUGCAGCGGGCGUGACCUCUCCCGGCUCCCCACCCUCGUCCGCGACGACGAGGACCAAGAUGCAUUUACGGUGUUGUCUGGUGCGUCGUCAGGUUUGGUUGGUCUGAGGCGAGGUAUGCUCCUGAGGCUGAUGGAUGGAUUGAUGUGUGCACGCUUGUAUGCAUGUACAUAUGGAUAUCAGGGUGCUUUCCUACUUAUGUGAUGUUUCUUGGGUUCAAUGCAGCUUGCCCUUUUGUUGAGAUUUCUUAGUUCAGUAAGCAAACUUCAUUUUGGCUCUGCACCACGAUUUCUAAAAGUUAAGGAAAUCACUUGCUUGACUGGUUCAGUACAGCUUGCUACUUUUUUUUAGAUUUGUUAGUUCAGUUAGUAAACUUCAGUUUGGGUUUGCACCACAAUUUCUAAUUUCAAUGAAGGUUUGAGUUUGUUUUAUCCAUUUAUGCGGCUUCAUCUACAGUGAGUUUCAAGAUAUAUUUGACGUGGGCUGCUUCAUAGCAUCAUUGAGAGGAGAAUUGAAUGCGGAAAGAGUUGACUCCAUUCUGCCGGUCGGUUGAUAUUACCAUAAUCAACUUUGCUUGCAUCUCUGAAUUAUACGCACAGCCAGAUAAGGAUUGUCGGUGUUUAUUUUGGAGAAGAUGGAUUCAAAAGAUACCAAUCAGAUAAUGAUUUAUCUUUCCAUGUACAUAUUGUUGUAUGGGAUUCUUUCUACGCAUAAUAUAUACUGCUUUUGGGUUUCUUACUCAGUAUCUAUAAACCACUCGGAAAUAUAGGAGUACCUUUGAGUGAACAAAUGGUCAUUUUAAAUGUUAAACUGCUGCAUACUGUGAUGUCAAGAUCAAGAUCUUACUUGUCAUUCAUGCACUGAAUUUAGAAACUGGAAAGUCAAAAAAAGGAAAUUAAUGCUAUUGACCUCAGUUAGACCAUUUUGCUGAAGAUUCGAAGAAUCUAAACUAGCUGUCACGGAUGGAAGCUCUUCCUCUUUGGUGGUGGACAGGAGGAGCACGGGUGCCCGGGACGACGUCAACGACGAGCCAGAGGAGACACAGUGGAUUCAUUGUCUGCUUCUGCUGCUGCUCGUGUGGACUCUGCACCAUCCUGGCCUUGAACUACCCCAUCUUAUAUACACAACAUACAGGUACAACCUCCUUUUCGGUAAAAAAUGAGGGGCGAUGAUGAUGACUCUGGCUGAAAUAAGCAUGUCUUGAGCAAUCAAGACUGCUGUGGCCUGUGGGUACUAAAUUAGAGCCCACUCUUACCUCUCUUGCAGUCUGUUCAAUUCAUCAGUAAUGUUGGAGGUUCUGCGCCUCGGAUGGUCAUUUUGGCGAGUGAUAACCAGGGCAUUCGUUUACAUUGCGAUGGGUAUGUUACGCAGCAAGAGAUGUGAGUGUUGGGCUUGAAGAUCAAAGACAAAACUGAGCCCUCUUUUGCUAUGCUAUAGAUACACAAAUUUUCCUUAUCUAUUAAUAAUAGACAAAUUUGCCUUAUCUAUUAUACAAAUACAUUGUAUAAUAGACAUACAAUGUUCUUCUUUCUUCUGUAUUCCUCUAUUGUGUUGAUGUGAGUGAAGAUCCGUCUGGACUUGUGAUUUAUGUCUUUUUUUGGUGAUGAACACAACCACCCAUAGCUUACUUGAAUUGAUUCAUGGUCGCGCUGGACAUUCCCCAUGACGCUGCCGGCGCUGAUGCCACGGCUUGCGCUUCUCACCCAGCCAAGUUGAGCUGGUACCGGCUACUGCUAGCGGCAGUACCACAAGUAAUGGCAUCGGUGCGUUUCUUUUUGUUCUAGGAGCGGUUGGAUCUGUACAUUUUACUGGCUUAGGUAGGUGCACAUGCCUUAGCAAGAUUCUGCUCAUGCGAUGCGAGUUGAGCGGUUGGACUGAUUUCCUUGAUGUACUUGCGACCAAAUCUGAAAGUGGCGCUUGCGUUGUGAUUUGUGUAGCACGCAUUUUACUUAGUAGUACUUUCAGUUAUGAAAGUUAUUUGCGGUAUCAUAUGAAAGGUCGGCUUUGCUUGGUCCCGGUUUUGUCGUGCGCAGAGCUUUAUUAGUAUUCCUUGUCAGUCUGCGUCGUCAAGCAGACCAGGUAAUGUCUUCCAACACAGCAGGAUCUUGCAAAGUUAGCAUUGAAUUUGUUUGCGUUAAGACAUGUUUUUCCCCUACAAAUUCAGUUUUUCAACAUGGUUGCCUCCUCUCUCUGUCCAUGGUUACUGAGGCAAGUAGAAUUGUUCUUCAUUUUCCAACUAAAGUGAAAAGUUCCACGAGCAAUUGCUAUUAUAAGCCACCCAAUUUCAAAUUCAAAUGAUUCUCACUCGAUUCAGAUUAUUUUACCACAAAAGCAACUUGGCUGCAAGUCAGACAUUUGAUGAUUCACUUUCUGGCUCUGAAAUAAUUAUCGCUGGAUAAAUUUCUAAAUUAAGUAUGCAUUGUUUCACCGUGACAAGCAUGCUGGUAUACAUUUGCUAGGUGUCUUAUGUUGCUCGUACACUCACAAUGUCGUGCCAAAAGGGAAGUUAUUUUCAUCUGUGUCUGCUGAAGCAUAGACUAAUACCCCACCGUUCGUACUAAAGACUGGAAUUGAUCUAUGUUUUUUAUAUAUAUGACAGAUAUGAACCAGUUAAUUUUUUGAGCAACCAUAUGAACCAGUUAAUGAAACUUCUCUUUAUAAUUGUUGUCAAAUAAGUAAGUUUUGCUUUAUAUGAGAAUACAGUGUCAGUCUCAUGUUGUAGAUGUUCAUGGCCUUUCUUUUUUUCUCUUUGUAGAGUUUUGAUGCUAUUUCUACUCACUUUGAGACAACUCUGAUAGGUGUUAUUGACACUUUUGGCAAAGAUGAUGACAUUUCUUCAACUUUAUGUAUGCAUGAGUGAGCCUACUCUUUUCUGUUCAAGUACUUCAUAUUUUCCCUUAGUUUUUUGUUGUGAGGUGAAGGUGAGUAAAGUUGGAAGCUACCCUAUGAAUAAAGGAGGAUCCACCAGCAGGUCAAUUAACUCCUCAUUCUGCAAUUCGUGCCUGAUCUUAGCAGAAGUAAAUCUUUGUGAUAUUAGCGACCAUUUCCGUAUUUAAAGACUAAUCAAUGCCCAACCACCAUCCACGGGUAAAAUGUGGCAUGAUUUACGAAGGGCAAUUUGUCAAAAAUGUUUGGAUAUGUGGGAGCGUUGUGCCCAUUCGCAGAAACAUUUUGAACACUCCAUAGUUGGUUUUAUAGAUCAAAGUAUUUGCAAUUUUGAAAUUAUGUGGGGUGUAGGGAACCUGAAUCCCUUAAUUGGUUGGCUGUUUUUUUGUUUGCAAGAAGGCGAAGCAAAUUUUCAGAGAUUCAAGCAUGCUACUAUACAUGCGAUGCUUGGUUUGAGGAGCUUCACAAGCAGAGAAUUGCUGAACUGAAAAGGCAGGCGGCUCGGCACUGCCGACUCCCCACCGGCCAUCGGGCAUGGGCACCAUCCUGAUGCUUCUGUUCUGCGGCCAUUCUUUGGGGGAACACAACCUUCAAAAGUUUGCCGGGCGCCCUCGCCCUGGCCAUCCGGCACCACCACGAGCUCUUCCUCGAGAGCAUCCGUGCACUUCGCCUGCAACUCCUGGGUGCAGACCACCGGGGAGCUGCCCGGCAACUCCAAGAGCAUCUUCUAUAGCUACAAGGCAGCGAUGCUAUUAUGUGGGAUCAAAAGACUGGACGAUCCAGAGGGUCCGGUUUUGUUUCUUUUAGGAAUCAACAGAAUGCACAAACUGCCAUAAAUGAAUUGAUGGUGCACUCCCUGUUGCUUAUUGCUAGCAAUGUCUAAUUCUGGAGUUAACAAAUAAGCUUCAUUGCAACCGCCAAAUCCCCCCCUCCUGUGUUUUUAGGUUCGUAACAGUUGAGUGAUCUUAAUGUGAGGUGGAUGUUCUUCUCUGAUGUACAUGAAUGGGACUUUCUGGUUUGGCAAUGAAUAAUUUGUUGGGUCUCUUGAUUCUAUAUGAAUAUGAUUUAAAAGAGCCAUGACAAAGAUUUUCUAG